rnacentral:rRNA from 1 species
UACGUAGGUGACAAGCGUUGUCCGGAUUUACUGGGCGUAAAGAGCGCGCAGGCGGUCGUUCAAGUCGAGUGUGAAAGCCCCCGGCUCAACUGGGGAGGGUCAUUCGAUACUGAUCGACUCGAAGGCAGGAGAGGGUAGUGGAAUUCCCGGUGUAGUGGUGAAAUGCGUAGAUAUCGGGAGGAACACCAGUGGCGAAGGCGACUUCCUGGCCUGUUCUUGACGCUGAGGCGCGAAAGCUAGGGGAGCAAACGGG